GACCAAAGUGGGGGACCUUCGGGCCUCACGCCAUAAGAUUAGCCCAAGUGGGAUUAGCUAGUUGGUGAGGUAAUGGCUCACCAAGGCGACGAUCCCUAGCUGGUUUGAGAGGAUGAUCAGCCACACUGGGACUGAGACACGGCCCAGACUCCUACGGGAGGCAGCAGUGGGGAAUAUUGCACAAUGGGCGCAAGCCUGAUGCAGCCAUGCCGCGUGUGUGAAGAAGGCCUUCGGGUUGUAAGGCACUUUCAGUAAGGAGGAAAGGUUAGUCACUAAUAUUGGCUAGCUGUGACGUUACUUACAGAAGAAGCACCGGCUAACUCCGUGCCAGCAGCCGCGGUAAUACGGAGGGUGCGAGCGUUAAUCGGAAUUACUGGGCGUAAAGCGUACGCAGGCGGUUUGUUAAGCGAGAUG
rnacentral:rRNA from 1 species